CGUUCAUCCCGUUGGCCAUGGAGAAGGAUUUCAAGUGACUCUUAAUGGCGACGGGGAGCGGAAGCUUGUCUAUCAGGUGCACCGGUGUGCACGAGACGAUGGCGCGACAGCACAGGUCCUGCAAGCUGAACACUGGAAAGAUACAGUGAUGAAGAUUCAACACAAGAGCAAAGACACUAAAGAUAACUCAAGAUGGCGGCGCAUGCACAACGCCUCUCCAGAUUUUGCGAUUUGGUAGCAAUUUCUCCAUCAACAGCAAGUCUAUUCACUCAGAACAAGUUUGCACACAUCUCAUACAGCCGACAAGAUGCUUUCAUGUAUACCACUUGCUGUAAAUAUGCUAGAUAUUUAUCUGCACUUUUGCACGACUGCUACAUUUUGCACUUCUGGUAGAUGCCAAACUGCAUUUCGUUGCUGUGGACCUGUACUAUGCAAUGACAAAGUUGUAUCUAUCUAUCUAAAGGUAAGUGAAAAACUUUUAUUGGUUACUUUUGCAACAUGCGAGUAACGAGGCUGUCUUAACAACGUUUGUUUGAUUUCUAGAUAUGAUCAGUACUUGUGCAGUACACCGUGUAAACCUAAACACACAAUGUUUCAUAGGGAACUCGUUUACAAGAAUUCAGAAGAUAAAGUGGUGUAAAAUAAUAUCUAAUUUUUUUUAAUUUAAAAAAAAUUUGUUAGACAGUGAGUGAUAAAAUAUACCACUUUGGAGGAGGUCAUUUUCCUGUAACGGCCACAAAUAUUUGAUUCCUUUCAUAAAACAGAAAUGUGCGAUUACAAUUUUAAUUAAUGAAACAAAACCUACAUUUUUUUAGCUGUCUGGUGUUCUCACUUGUUAGAGCAACGAUACACAGUCGUUCCUUCACCAGCCUUAUUAUUAGUUUGACUUUGUUACUGAGAAAUCACCAUAAAUUCCUCUGUCCUGAAAAUGUCAUAUUUUGUAAAGGUUACAGCUUUAAGUGUUACCAAGUGCAUUUAACAUGUAUGGAAAGAGCCUCCAAUCUCUUUACAGAAAGCUUGGCCACGUCAGCAUCCCUGUCAAUGUGCUGUUACUAUAAAUACGCUAACACCUAGAAUCUAGUAAGCUAUUGUUUCUACAGUAACAGGGAUGUUGACAUGGCCAAGCUUUCUGUAGAGAGAUUCUCAGUUCAUUUAACAUGUACAGAAGAGUAAAGCAGGAACUUGUACAAUGGACAGAAGGGCUUACACUUUGCUGUAGCUCUGUUCUUUUUAAGUCUCGUUUAUUAAAUGGGGGAGAGAGAGAACAAAGGUGGUAGGGAAACAGUUUAUUGCUGCAGUAACAUACAUGAGAACAGGAACUAGUUUCACAAAAUUAACAAUAAUUGUAUUAUUUCACACAUCUCUGUAGUAUAAGAGGAAUGAAACAUUUGCGGCCGUACAGUUACAGGAGAAUGCUCAACCUCCAGGUGGCGCCGGGAACUCGAACACAUACAACCAAUACUUCGUAUUCACCGUACUGCGAAUCUCAGAAGACAGUCAGUAGCAGUCAACUUAGACAGGCCAUGCACCUCCCCUGUUUACUACACAGAUUUGUGUUAUGUCUGCUAUAGGCCACACCCCUAAGAUCUAUCAGAACUUACUUAUUAGGAACACUUGCUCAUUUCUAUAGUUAUCUAAAAAGGCAAUCAUGUGUCAGCAAUAAAGUGCUGCAGAUAGUGAGUGUAUAAGAUUGUCUGCUAAAUUUUAGGGGCACGGCCUAGAGAGCCGUAACACCAAUCUGUCCCCUUUCUUUCUAACAGACUCACCUCGGUUGGGCCUCCAGAACUUCUCCAUUCCGUGUCUCAUGAGCACGAUGCGCGACAGCUCCGUGAACGACUCGAUGACGUUGAAGUUGCAGAGCGGACUGACUUCGAAGAAGGUCAUGGCGUUUUUCUCAGCAUAGGAGCGAGCCUGCUCUGUGGGAACCUGACGCUUGAAUGCCAAGUGUAGUCGGUUCCCCACCAGGAUCCGAGGAACCCCGGGGGCGUGCUGCAGAUACAAAAGAACCGCAUGAUCACCAUCAUCAUUACUGUUAUUGAAUCUCUUGCACCGAAAUAAAAGUGGGGUGUUCCUGUAGAGAAAUGCGCACACCAACACGAUACUGUACACUACACACUUCAAUACUUUCACAUAAAUAAAAUUCUGCUUGACGUUUCCA